GGUAAUGAUAGCAUUAAUAAAUGACUGACGUGUAAAGAACAGAAUAUGAAGCUCAAGGUACUUUGGCACGUAAUUAAAAAUAAGAUUUAUUUUCAAUUUAACAUUAUCCACCCGCGAACUUACUAAUUGGUUACCGAAAAAAUAACCAGUUAUUUUGUUCUUUUUAAAGUGAACGAACGUGUUGCACUGUAACUGUCGGACGAACGAGGGCGCUGCAUCUUACGUUUUCUCAGUCUUCAGUUUAGAAGUUGAGAUUGCCCCCGGGAAGAUGAAUUUCUGCUGUCGCUCGAGUCGGCCACGGAAACGGAGUUCACCGAGUAACCGCUCCAGAGGCACUUCAGUCCGCCCGUGGAACGCCCAAACGCCGCCUUUUCCUCUUUGAGUUGGGUUACAGACAGAGGGAGCAGCUCGACGUGACAUUGAGCGCUCUGUUGUUGUAAUGCCUCUCCAAUCUUAUUAAAGACCACAACUGCAGAAGACCUUGCUGACUCCACACAUUGCCAUUAACUACGUUGUUUUUUUUUUCUUCUCUUUUUUUUUUUUUUCGGUUUCCUAC